AGGUGGGUCACUGAUAACAAGGUCUCUACCAGCUGCCCUCCUUCACCACACAGCAACAGGAGGGUCACUGAUAACAAGGUCUCUACCAGCUGCCCUCCUUCACCACACAGCAACAGGUGGGUCACUGAUAACAAGGUCUCUACCAGCUGCCCUCCUUCACCACACAGCAACAGGAGGGUCACUGAUAACAAGGUCUCUACCAGCUGCCCUCCUUCACCACACAGCAACAGGAGGGUCACUGAUAACAAGGUCUCUACCAGCUGCCCUCCUUCACCACACAGCAACAGGAGGGUCACUGAUAACAAGGUCUCUACCAGCUGCCCUCCUUCACCACACAGCAACAGGAGGGUCACUGAUAACAAGGUCUCUGCCAGCUGCCCUCCUUCACC